GGCACACUGUGUGGUGGGGUGGAACAGUUUGACUGCUGCCUCCAAAGAAGCAUUUACAAGAAGUUUGAGCUGACGUAUGUGGGACCUAGCCAGGUGAUUGUGAAGAACCUGUCAUCGGGAACCCAAGUGCUGCUCAAGUGCCACUAUAGCUAUGAGGUGGAAGAGGUGAAAAUCCUGGGAAAGGAGCAUUACUUGGUGGCCCACACAUCAGACACUCUGCUGCUGGGGGACCUGAACACUAAUCGCCUUAGUGAGAUAGCCUGGCAGGGAUCUGGUGGCAAUGAGAAGUAUUUCUUUGAAAAUGAGAAUGUGAGUAGAGCUUGCUUCACCAUCACCAUCUCCAUAAGCCUCCUUCUAGC